CCCUUAGAUGUUCUGGGCCGCACACGCGCUACACUGGCCGGUUCAUCGAGCUUCAUGCCCUGAUCUGAGAAGAACGGGAAAUCUUUGAACACCUGCCGUGCUUGGGAUAGAUGUUUGCAAUUAUUCAUCUUCAACGAGGAUUGCCUUGUAAGCGCACGUCAUCAGCGUGCAUUGAAUACGACCCUGUAUUCUGUACACACCGCCCGUCGCUCCUACCGAUUGAAGUUUUCGGUGAAUUUACUGGAGAUCCCUUUUGAAGGUGGUUCGCCACUGGAAGAAGUAUUCAAAAGUAAAUGAAUCGAAUGCUUUAGAGGAAGGAGAAGUCGUAACA
rnacentral:rRNA from 1 species